rnacentral:lncRNA from 1 species
AAAGGGACUGCGCAUUAGCGUUACUUCGCACGACGGACAGUGGUUUACUGACAGUCUAUACUAUAUAUAUAUUUGUAUGUAUACUGGCCGUAUAUGCUGUAUCAGAAGGCUGCGUGUUCGGUCUGGGCGUGAGCCAGAAAUGUGCCCUUGUAGCCCAGAAACCCAACCGUGCCCUGCGCUGCAUGAAAAGGAUUGUGGCCAGCAGGGCGAAGGAGGUGGUGCUGUCCCAAUACUCUGCGCUGGUGAGACCUCACCUGCAGCACUGCAUCCAGAUGUGGAGUCCUCGGUACACGAGAGACGGAGCUGUUGGGGCGUGAACAGAGGGCAGCAAAAAUGCUCCUAGGGAUGGAACACCUCUCCUUUAUGAGGACAGGCUGAGGGAGCUGAGGCUGUUCAGCCUGGAGAAGAGAAGGCUCCGAGGAGACCUGAGUGCAACCUUUCAGUAUCUGAAGGGGGCUGUAAGAAAGAAGAGGACAGACUCUUUACCAGGGUCUGUUGUGAUAGGACAAGGGGAAAUGGUUUCAAACUGAAAGAGCUGCUGCAACCUGCCAAGGAAUCCAGUUCAGCAGUCCAGCAGUCUUGCCAUUACCCGAAUGUUACUAUCUUUUACAAAGAACUUGUCACAGGAAUGGAGUCACACAACCUGCUGGUCUGACAAAGUGCAACUGACUACAAAAUAAUUCACUGACAUUAACUUAG